GCCGGAAUGAUGGAAUAGGCAGACAUAGACGCCUCAAAAGCGUCCGCCUGAAAGGGCGUGCGGGUUCGAGUCCCGCUUCCGGCACC
rnacentral:tRNA from 1 species